rnacentral:rRNA from 1 species
AUACGUAGGUGACAAGCGUUAUCCGGAUUUACUGGGCGUAAAGGGCGUGUAGGCGGUCUUGCAAGUCAGAAGUGAAAUUCCUGAGCUCAACUCGGGCGCUGCUUCUGAAACUGCAGGACUUGAGUGCUGGAGGGGAUAGCGGAAUUCCUAGUGGAGCGGUAAAAUGAGCAGAUAUUAGGAAGAACACCGGUGGCGAAGGCGGCUAUCUGGACAGUAACGGAGGCUGAAGCUCGAAACCGUGGGGAGCAAACAGGUAGAUAUACCCUGGUGGUCCACGCCGUAAACGAUGAAUACUAGGUGGAGGGGGUAUCGACUCCCUCUGUGCCGCAGUUAACACAAUAAGUAUUCCGCCUGGGGAGUACGGCAGCAAGGUUGAAACUCAAAGGAAUUGACGGGG